rnacentral:rRNA from 1 species
CUCCUUCAUGCCCUAUUCUCCCCUUUUGUCUACCAAACUUUGUUGCCUUGGCGGCGCCGUAGCGCUGUAACAAGCCUACCAGCCGCCAGAGGACCCUAACCCGAAAAUUCAAGCUGUCUGAGUCACUAUAUAAUAGUUAAAACUUUCAACAACGGAUCUCUUGGUUCUGGCAUCGAUGAAGAACGCAGCGAAAUGCGAUAAGUAAUGUGAAUUGCAGAUAUCAGUGAAUCAUCGAAUCUUUGAACGCACAUUGCACCCCCUGGCAUUCCAGAGGGUAUGCCUGUUCGAGCGUCAUUACAACCCUUGCGCGCAGCGCAGUCUUGGGCUCGCCCUGUAGGGCCUGCCUCAAAUGCAGUGGCGGCGGCGUGGAGCCCCUGAGCGUAGUACUAUUCGUCGCUCUCGGAGGCUGUGCGGUUGCUUGUCAGGAAACCCCCACACUCUAGGUUGACCUCGGAUCAGGUAGGGAUACCCGCUGAACUUAAGCAUAUCAAUAGCCGGAGGAA